GGGCUCUGCUCACAGAGGACACCCCUGCUACCAAAACCUUGCCAGGUAAGCUCAAAGUCUGUUCCAACCUCAGCUAUUCUGUGAUUCUGUGAUCUCCAUUGACUCAAGUUUUACAUUUGAUUUAUCAGCCACAUAAAGACCUAAAUUCAAAAGUGCUUUGUUCUGGAGGUCAUGAUGGCAUGGCAUCAUUAGAUGUCAGAUCCUGACCCCAGCGGAUCAGAAACUGUUAAAUUUCAGCUGUUUUACCUUUAAAGAGCCUAAAUGGAACAUAGAGAAACUCCUUCUGGAAGUGUACCUGCUAAGUAACAACCAUUAAGAAAUAUCUUUACACCACCA
rnacentral:lncRNA from 1 species